GCGUCGUUGGUCUAAUGGUUAUGAUACUCGCCUUCCAAGCGAGUGAAACGGGUUCGAUUCCCGUACGACGCA